UAGGGAAUCUUCCGCAAUGGACGCAAGUCUGACGGAGCAACGCCGCGUGCGUGAAGAAGGAUUUCGGUUCGUAAAACUCUGUUGUUAGAGAAGAACAGCGCAUAGAGUAACUGUUAUGCGUGUGACGGUAUCUAACCAGAAAGCCACGGCUAACUACGUGCCAGCAGCCGCUGUAAUACGUAGGUGGCAAGCGUUGCCCGGAUUUAUUGGGCGUAAAGCGAGCGCAGGCGGUCAAUUAAGUCUGAUGUGAAAGCCCCCGGCUCAACCGGGGAGGGUCAUUGGAAACUGGUUGACUAGAGUGCAGAAGAGGAGAGUGGAAUUCCAUGUGUAGCGGUGAAAUGCGUAGAUAUAUGGAAGAACACCAGUGGCGAAGGCAACUCUCUGGUCUGUAACUGACGCUGAGGUUCGAAAGCGUGGGUAGCAAACAGG
rnacentral:rRNA from 1 species